AUUGAACGCUGGCGGCAGGCCUAACACAUGCAAGUCGAACGGUAACAGGAAGCAGCUUGCUGCUUCGCUGACGAGUGGCGGACGGGUGAGUAAUGUCUGGGAAGCUGCCUGAUGGAGGGGGAUAACUACUGGAAACGGUAGCUAAUACCGCAUACUGUCGCAAGACCAAAGAGGGGGACCUUCGGGCCUCUUGCCAUCGGAUGUGCCCAGAUGGGAUUAGCUUGUUGGUGGGGUAACGGCUCACCAAGGCGACGAUCCCUAGCUGGUCUGAGAGGAUGACCAGCCGCACUGGAACUGAGACACGGUCCAGACUCCUACGGGAGGCAGCAGUGGGGAAUAUUGCACAAUGGGCGCAAGCCUGAUGCAGCCAUGCCGCGUGUAUGAAGAAGGCCUUCGGGUUGUAAAGUACUUUCAGCGGGGAGGAAGGGAGUAAAGUUAAUACCUUGGCUCAUUGACGUUACCCGCAGAAGAAGCACCGGCUAACUCCGUG
rnacentral:rRNA from 1 species